AAUAUUAAAUUAACGAUAAAAGAAUUAAUUGAAAAACCUUCAAGUGAAAGGAAAUAAAUAAACAAUAAUGUGAUAAAAUAGUGAGAACACAAUUUUUAAGGCUGUGAAAAGUGUUUAUAUAUGUAUGUGUAAUUAUUUCUACAACGUUAAUUUAUAACAACAAACUCAGUAUUAAUUCCAAAAAAAAAAAUACAAAAACACAAUAAAGUAUUCUUAUCAAAAAGACUCAAUUCCUUUCUCCAAA